GAAAUGCGAUAAGUAGUGUGAAUUGCAGAAUUCAGUGAAUCAUCGAAUCUUUGAACGCACAUUGCGCCCCUUGGUAUUCCAUGGGGCAUGCCUGUUCGAGCGUCAUUUGUACCCUCAAGCUCUGCUUGGUGUUGGGUGUUUGUCCCGUCUCCGCGCGUGGACUCGCCCCAAAGUGAUUGGCAGCCGGCGUACUGGUCCCGGAGCGCGGCGCGGCCCACACCGUAAAACCCCCGACGUACCUGAAGUUUGACCUCGGAUCAGGUAGGAAUACCCGCUGAACUUAAGC
rnacentral:misc_RNA from 1 species